CACUGGAACUCCAUGUGUAGUGGGAAGAAUGGAAGGGCAGAACACAGAAUUUCUGCCCUCCAGACGUGCUGAAAGCCCCUUGGACUUGAAGAAUAUCCUGAAUUUCCACUAUCUUCAGCAAGAGAAGAAAAUAUUCAGAACCAGGCAUAGAAAAACUCAGCAGUCUGCUUAAACAUGAAGAUAUCGUGACACCUAGUGGUCAGUUAAACACCAAUAACUUCUGUUUCCCUCAGGAUUCGCCCGUGUUCUCCACAG